rnacentral:rRNA from 1 species
UACAGAGGUCUCAACCGUUGUUCGGAUUCAUUGGGCGUAAAGGGUGCGUAGGCGGUCGCGCAAGUCGGAUGUGAAAUCUCAGGGCUCAACCCUGAAACUGCAUUCGAUACUGCGUGGCUAGAGUGCUGGAGAGGAGACUGGAAUUUACGGUGUAGCAGUGAAAUGCGUAGAUAUCGUAAGGAAGGCCGGUGGCGAAAGCGAGCCUCUGGACAGUUACUGACGCUGAUGCACGAAGGCCAGGGGAGCAAACGGG